GGGAUUCAAGGGGUGGUCACAGAAGGAAACACUGCAGUGCAGACGUUUCCUGGCCCUGAGGAUCAGUUCCCAAGAUCUGGAGUACAUCUUUGUGUGCUGUAAAAUGUUACUGUAUCUAAAUGCAAUUUGUCAUUCUUGAAUUGUGUGACAUGGUAAUGACUAUGGAAAUGAUGAAAAGUCAGGUUUGGCACCCGUUUGAUAGGUAUAUUCUUAAUGCAUACAUAAGCUGAGAUAAGCUCAAACAACGGCUGUCUUGCUUUAGUCCUUUGCAGGACAUCUUGUUUCUAUUCAGGUGGCUGCAAUGAAACGAGGCUGGCUCCAAUGUGCCAUCAGGGUGCAGAGGCUUCCCUGGGACUCCCUCCUGCCAUGCAUCAUUGAUGUGUGAUGCUAAAGCUGUUUGCAUAGAGCACAUGGGAACCAGACCUGAGCAAGGAAGGUCAAAGUGAAGUGAAAGCAGCAGAGCUCAUCUCAAGCUUUGUUCACAGUUCUGCAACAGGAGCAGCUCUGUGGAGAAAGUGGUGGCUGGCUCUGUCUCCGUUCCUCAGGUGGUCCCAUUUGGAAUCCCUCUUCCAGGGAAGGCUAACCAUGAAGGAGACACAAAUGCUCUUGUAGAAAUGAAAUCAGGUCUGAGUAAGAGCUCUGAAUCCAGAUGGCACCACGUCUUGAAUGCAGACAUCUGCUGCCAGUGACUACACCCGCUUGCAUUGGAUGGGAGUCACCAAUAGCUCCACAGAUGCAGCCCCAAACCAACAUCUGCAUAAAGACACUGGACUUGCUGCUUUGUGUGAGUGCAGUGGCUAAGCAAACUGGCACUAGUCUGUAGAAACAUCUGGAGGUAUUGAUGCUGCAUCUGCUGAGGGAACUGUACCGUAGUUUAAAAUGAAUUGUCAGCAGGAUCCAUGGAUUUGUGAUGGGCAGGCACUAUGGCCUAACGAACACCUGAAGCCCACGGCACAGACUUGAAGGAUCUCUUCUAUCUGCAGGACUGAAUAAGCACAGUACUUUGUAAG